AACGAACGCUGGCGGCGUGCUUAACACAUGCAAGUCGAACGCGAACGGUUUCUUCGGAAACUUAGUAGAGUGGCGCACGGGUGAGUAACGCGUAAGUAAUCUACCCUCGCAUCUGGGAUAACCCACCGAAAGGUGAGCUAAUACCGGAUACGUUGAUUUAUCAAGAAAGGUGGCCUCUUCAUGAAAGCUACUGUGCGGGGAGGAGCUUGCGUACCAUUAGCUAGUUGGUGGGGUAAUGGCCUACCAAGGCGACGAUGGUUAACGGGUCUGAGAGGAUGAUCCGUCACACUGGAACUGAAACACGGACCAGACUCCUACGGGAGGCAGCAGUGAGGAAUAUUGCGCAAUGGGGGAAACCCUGACGCAGCGACGCCGCGUGGAUGAUGAAGGCCUUCGGGUCGUAAAAUCCUGUCAGAUGGGAAGAAGUGGUUCAGAGUUAAUACCUCUGUUCUUUGACGGUACCAUCAAAGGAAGCACCGGCUAACUCCGUGCCAGCAGCCGCCGCGGUAAC
rnacentral:rRNA from 1 species